AAGUAGAAUGAAUAUGCUCAAAGGGUAAACGGUGUGGCAACUCUGUACGGCAAUUCAUAGGGGUAACUCUUGAAUUAUUUGGUAUGCUUUAAUGACAGUGUUGGAAAGCGUUUGUUUGCUAUAUGUGAAGCUAAAAUUCAAAAUAAUUAAAAGUCAUGUUAUUGAAAGUGCUGCCUGAGGAAAAGAAGCAAAUGCAAAUGAAUUGAUAAUGGAUACAAGUGUAUUUACAUUAAAAAUCAGACAACAAAAAAGAGAUUCGGUUCUGGAAAACAUAAAUCCAAUAAGCAAUUGAAAUCAUCUUGUAUGCCUGCUGUACGAGCCAACUUCAAAGCGGAAAAUUAAGUCGCAUUGGUAAUUCAAUGACAAUCGAACUGACGCACGGAAAAUUUUGCCGAAGGGGAGCUGCUGCUGCUGCUGCUGCUGUUGCAGACAAAUCACAGCCAUGUCCUUGAAUGGCAAAUUGCGACACAGCAAAAUAAUAACAGCUCGUGAAGGUAAACAUGUUCGGGAACCGACGCGACGCGCAAGGAUGGCACCAACACAACAAUCAGUAAAGCGCUCUUCAGGAACAGUCUUUCCAGGACAUAUACAUAUGUACAUACAUGCCAAGGAUGCCAGACUGCACACACGCACACGCACACGCACGCCGACUUCAAGGAUUCACGCGCCCUCUCACCCAGCCACUCGGCACUUUCACUUUUCUCCUUCGUGAAGCAUGGACGACGACCAGGUCGGGUUCAUGGCAGUCCGAAACAUCGGGACCUUGAACACUUGUGGGCGUCGCCAGUGUUGCCACUCCGUCACCCAUAAACUGUGGGCGCUCGCUUCUCGCAAGCCACUUGUGUAUUCCUUAUGCUGCCGCGCGCGUUCAUUUUAAUUAAAUGCAAAGCAUUUGACAAACCACAGCAUAAAUAUGUUUUAAUUAACAAAAAGCCAUCACGUUUCAAGGGUCUGGCAACGCCAUUCGCAGAGCAGUGACAGCCCAGGAGUGAGUUCAGUCAGGAUAUUACAACUGUCGGCACCCAGUGUACUAGUUUGGCAAACUUGUUUUUGUUAUGAAUGUGAAGAAGCACAACAAAAAUGCGACAGCAGACUGGCAAAGACGUCAAGGACAUGGGGUGGAGCAGUGAAGGUUGCGUUUGCCACCGGGGUUUGUGUGCAGAGCGUGGGCGUGCGAGCGCAUGCCAGAGAGAGAGAGAGCGAAGGCGGGAGAGAGCAAGAGAGUGUGGCUGUCCAGCGUUUGCCUAAGGAUUUCAAGCGAAAUUCUGCGUCGUAAUUUUUCAAUAUGGCAGCUAAAAAUCUCCACAAUAACCCCCACGCACGCAAGCCCCAUUCCAAGAGAGGGGCGGUGGUGGCAACCGGCAAAUGCGUACAACGAAAAUAUGGUAUAUACAUAAGUACAAAUAUAAUAUUCUAUACAUACAUAUAUUAUGUAGCCUGGAUGGACGUACGCAGACAUUGUUGGCGUUGUUGUGACGCGUAUCGAUUUGUUUAUGUUUAUUAAAUGAAAAUUCAUAAGGGAUCAGUUGGAGCUCAGGGAUGGGGCUGCUAAUUGGUAGCGGUAAGAUGAUGGGAAAUUUUUCGCACUCUACUCGCAGGGCUAGGCCAUAAAAAGAGAGAGAAAGAGAGAUAAGCCUCUUAUAACAAGUCCUUAUGCUCGCUUUGAAAGUUUGAGAAGCGCAAAGAAAGGACUCUUGGGUUGAGAAGUUGCAAAUACCAAGAAUAUUAACAACUCAUUAGUUAAAAAUAUAUAAGAUUAUGUCAAAUUAAAGGAUUAGAUAUAUGACAACAUCUCUUAAUUAAUUGCUUAGUUAUAUUUGAUUUCCAGAGAGAUGAUAAGUAUGAUAAGACAUGAUUGUUAAAUCUAUCAAAGGAUAUUAAGGAUUGAUAAGACAUAAUUAAUGAAACUAAAUCAUAUUCUGAUUCUUAUCAAUAUAACUUGUUUAAGCCACACAUUAGACUGCUUUAUUAAAUCAGUUUUAUUAAACUUUUAAAAAACUA